ensembl:lncRNA
GAAUAGUAAUCAAUCUAAUGAUGUUUCUAGUCAUCUGAUGCCCUCUUGAGAUUUUCUAGGACAGUUUCCCAUGAAAAGUAAUCUCAUGAAAAGCCCUAAAAGUAAUUUUAGGGCUACAGCUGUGGUCAUAUAGGGAAAAGAGACUUUCUGACUCCCCAGGGACUCCUCUCCACUGUGGCAGACUUCAGGGAGCACAUAGAGGGAAGGACACCCUCUAGCAUCUUGAAGAACCCAAGCUAUAGGGUUGGAGGUAUGGUAGGAAUGAGGCACAGCUCCAGCCUUGCAAUGUGAGAGGAUGGUGUCCAUAUGAAUAAGCCGAGACAACAAAGUGAUCGGAAGCUCCAGAGGAGGAAGAGAGGCUUUGUCAGAGGCAUCCGUGAGCUCGGAUUGGGUUUUGAAGGGAAGGGGUUUCCCAGCCACACUAGGUUGGAGCAGCACAAACAGAGGCAACAGCACAUGUGAAGAUGUGGAUAAUAGCUGCUGAUCCUAAAGCCCAGGGAAAUGAUGUCAGACAAAAAGCAAGUUUGAGCGAUUUUCUUCUUUGAGUUCAAAAUGGAUUGUAAAGGAGUGGAGAUAACACAACAUCAACAGUGCCUCUGGCCCAGGGACUGCUAAUGAAUGUAUAGUGCAGAGGUGGUUCAAGAAGCUUUGCAAAGGAAACAAGUUGACAACAAUGAACUGAGAGGAUCAUCAAAGCUGAUCCUCUUACAAAGAAGUUGCCAAAGAACUCAAUGUCAACCAUCUUAUGGUCAUUCAGCGUCUGAAGCAAACUGGAAAGGUGAAAAAUCUCAGUAAGUGGGUGCCUCAUGAGCUGACUGAAAAUCAAAAACAUUGUCAUUUUGAAGUGACUUCUCUUAUUCUAUGCAACAACAAAGAACCAUUUCUCGAUUGGAUUGUGAUGUACAAUGAAAAGUGCACUUUAUACAGCAACUGAUGACCCUCUCAAUGACUGGACUGAAAAGAAGCUCCAAAGCACUUCCCAAAGCCAAAUUUGCACCAAAAAAGGUCAUGGUCAUUGUUUGGUGGUCUGCUGCCCAUCUGAUCCAGUAAAGCUUUCUGAAUCCCAGUGAAACCAUUACAUCUGAGAAGUAUGCUCAGCAAAUCAAGGAGUCACACUGAAAACUAUAAUGCCUGCAGCCAGUAUCGGUCAACACAAGGGACCCAAUGCUUCUGCAUCACAAUGCUCAACCACACAUUGUACAACCAGCACUUCAAAAGUGGAGUGAAUCGGGCUACGCAUUUUUGCUAUGUUCACCUGACCUCCUGCCAACCAACUACCACUUCUUCAAACAUUUCGACAACUUUUUGCAGGGAAAAUGCUUCCACAACCAGCAGGAGGCAGAAAAUGCUUUCCAAAAGUUCGCUGAAUCGUGAAGCACAGAUUUUUAUGCUGCAGGAAUAAACAAACUUAUUUUU